rnacentral:rRNA from 1 species
UAGGGAAUCUUCGGCAAUGGACGAAAGUCUGACCGAGCAACGCCGCGUGAGUGAAGAAGGUUUUCGGAUCGUAAAACUCUGUUGUUAGAGAAGAACAAGGACGUUAGUAACUGAACGUCCCCUGACGGUAUCUAACCAGAAAGCCACGGCUAACUACGUGCCAGCAGCCGCGGUAAUACGUAGGUGGCAAGCGUUGUCCGGAUUUAUUGGGCGUAAAGCGAGCGCAGGCGGUUUCUUAAGUCUGAUGUGAAAGCCCCCGGCUCAACCGGGGAGGGUCAUUGGAAACUGGGGGACUUGAGUGCAGAAGAGGAGAGUGGAAUUCCAUGUGUAGCGGUGAAAUGCGUAGAUAUAUGGAGGAACACCAGUGGCGAAGGCGGCUCUCUGGUCUGUAACUGGCGCUGAGGCUCGAAAGCGUGGGGAGCAAACAGG